GGUCCUGUGGCCUAACGGAUAAGGCGUCUGACUUCGAAUCUAGAAGAUUGCAGGUUCGAGUCCUGCCAGGAUCG
rnacentral:tRNA from 1 species